rnacentral:misc_RNA from 1 species
AGCAGCCGCGGUAAUUCCAGCUCCAAUAGCGUAUAUUAAAGUUGUUGCAGUUAAAAGCUCGUAGUUGAAUUUCGGGGUUAGUAGGUUGGUCAUGCCCCUGGUAUGUACUGGUCUCACUGAUUCCUCCUUCCUGAUGAACCUUAAUGCCAUUAAUUUGGUGUUUUGGGGAAUUUGGACUGUUACUUUAGAAAAAUUAGAGUGUUUAAAGCAAGCUAACGCUUGAAUACAUUAGCAUGGAAUAAUGAAAUAGGACGUUCGAUCCUAUUUUGUUGGUUUCUAGGAUUGACGUAAUGAUUAAUAGGGAUAGUUGGGGGCAUUAGUAUUCAAUUGUCA